rnacentral:rRNA from 1 species
UACGAAGGGUGCAAGCGUUACUCGGAAUUACUGGGCGUAAAGCGUGCGUAGGUGGUGGUUUAAGUCUGCUGUGAAAGCCCUGGGCUCAACCUGGGAAUUGCAGUGGAUACUGGGUCACUAGAGUGUGGUAGAGGGAUGCGGAAUUUCUGGUGUAGCAGUGAAAUGCGUAGAGAUCAGAAGGAACAUCCGUGGCGAAGGCGGCAUCCUGGGCCAACACUGACACUGAGGCACGAAAGCGUGGGGAGCAAAC